UACGGAGGGUGCAAGCGUUGCUCGGAAUUAUUGGGCGUAAAGGGUAUGUAGGUGGUCUCAUUUGUCUGGGGUGAAAGCCUUGAGCUUAACUCAAGAAGUGCCCUAGAAACGGUGAGACUAGAGUUCUGGAGAGGGUCGUGGAAUUCCCGGUGUAGCGGUGAAAUGCGUAGAGAUCGGGAGGAACACCAGAGGCGAAGGCGGCGACCUGGACAAGCACUGACACUCAACUACGAAAGCGUGGGGAGCAAACAGG
rnacentral:rRNA from 1 species